AGUUUGAUCAAAUUUUGAGAAUACGUUUAUGAUUAAUAUAUUAUAUUAAGGCAUUUUUUUUUAAUUUUAAACCACGUAAUUGUCAUGAAACUUAAACUAUAACUUUCUAAAAUAAAAAUGUAUCAAGCUAUAAGAGUCAACACAAGGUCUUUGUAGUUAUUUUCUUAAAUGUAUAUUCUUGAAUAUAUAUUUUUCUAACAAUUAAUAAAUUAAUCCGAGCAUUUUGAUCCUAGCAUUGGAUCAUCUUCAAUGUACGCUAAUUUUUAACUCACAAAAUUUGAAAUAAUGAUAUACAUAUUAAAUCAAAUCAAGUUAAUAAAAAAACUCACAGAUACAAUUAUUGUAUUAAAAUUGGAGUGCUAAAUUUUAUAUUUUUCAAAUUUAAUAUUAUUUUAUACCAGUUUAUAAAUAGAUUUUUAGCACAUCCCUGGACUUUCUAUUAUCAUCAAUUAUAUGAUGAUAAAAGAGUCCAGGGAUUCUGUUUUUGAGGAGGUUUUAGUUUUAGAAACUAAAAAAUUAUAAUGUUUGCCCACAAGUUUAUUAAUUUAUUUAAGAUAUGUAUGCGAUAUAUUCUAUUAGUGUUUUAUUUAACAUAAAUGCUUAAUAACUAAAAAUAAUUCAACUUCUACGAGUGUUUGCAAUUUACAUCUAAGGUUAAAAAAAAUGACUGUUUCAAUCAUUCUUCAUCAUCUGUCAUAUCCAUAUCGUAUUUCGCCACACAAUUAGUUUUGAUUUGUAUAAAAAAAUAAUUUUUUCUGACAAAUAUUUGAAUUUUCAACCUCUUGUCACUCAGUAACACAAGAAAAGUAUUGUGUAUAAUUUGGUGAACAAAACUAUUUUUCUUUUUAACUCCAUAUUCCAUUUAAAAAAUCUGAUAAAUCAAUAUUUUAUCGGAAAACGGUUAUCUUUUUUCUUUCAUUUUUGGACAAUACGAACCAAACUGAAGUACCUUGCUUAUAAGAAAAACGAUUACAAAAAAAGAAGCAUAUUAAGAAAAAACAUUCACAAAAGUUGGCUAUGGUUUCUUAUCAUGAUUGUGAGGCCACUUGUAUAAGACAAACUAAACAUCAACUUAAAAACAGCCCAGGAACAUAUCUGAAAUAUCAAGAAGAAAAGUGGCUCUCCAUUAUAAUUCAAUAGUUAUAUUCAAUCAUCGUCUUACAAAUACAACAAAUUAUGUAUUCGUCAUAAAUCAACCAUUUCAAGUGAGAUGUACAAAUUGUUGACAAUGAGUUUAACUAUAACAAAAUACUAUUAUAAUUAAAGUUCAUAUAAAAAAGUAAAAACAUUGUCUAAAUAGAUACUAAAUUUUUAUCGGAAACAUAUUUCCUUGUGCUCAACUAAUUGUCUCUAAAUUAUGUUUCAAGACUUUCUCCGAAUUAGGACAUUCUUCCCUCUUUUAUCUAUUUUCUUUGCCCUUUUUUUAUUCUAUGUACUUUCAUCAAUUUUAAUAAUGCCAUUGAAUCAUUCAAUAUUGUUGUAUAUUUGUGUUGUAUACUUGUGUUGUAUAAGAAUUUGAAUAUGAUACUAUGAUUAUUAAUGUCAUUUCUUUCUUUUUACUCCUAUAAUUUCCCAUAUCAAUUAUCUCCAGAAUCAAUGCAUCACUAAUUAUGAACAAUACGGUCAUUUUGUCAUAUAUAUUAUUGAGAAUUUUAUUGUAUUGACAUGAUUUCAAUUAAAUUUUAAUGCAACAAUCGUAAUUUGCAAAGAACAGCGUUUAACACAGUCUAAAUUAAUAUGUACAUCACCUAAAACUUUGUAAAUUAAAAAUUGGCAUACAACACUGAGAAUAAUUUAAUGCUGGGAUGGAAAUAUUUGUUAAUUUUUUGAGAAAUAUAUUUAAAAAAAAUAAGUAUGAAGACACUGUAUAUUGGCUCUUUUAGCUUCUCGACAUAUUAUUCGAGUCUUAAUUUUCUAAACCGACUUUGUUAUUUCAGUUUCUGAAAUAAUCAAAAUCAAAUAAUGUUAAUUCUGUAGCAGAUUAAGUAUUAGAAUUGAGAUUAGAUUGAAAUUUAACAAAUCAGAGUAAGUAAAUCAAUCUAAAGUUUCGAAAACUUUGUUCUUGAUCAAAUUUCAAUCCCAAUCGUUAGUCUGAUACGGACUAUAAGCAUCCCAAGACCCAGUCUCGUCUGAUACAUCUUUAUUUUAUAUGUAUGUAAAUUUAAACAAUUAAUUUUAUUAAUUGUAAAUCAAUAAAAAUUAUUUACUAUUCC